rnacentral:rRNA from 1 species
GUGAGGAAUUUUCCGCAAUGGGCGAAAGCCUGACGGAGCAAUGCCGCGUGAAGGAUGAAGGCCUAUGGGUUGUAAACUUCUUUUCUCAGAAAAGAAUUAUGACGGUAUCUGAGGAAUAAGCAUCGGCUAACUCUGUGCCAGCAGCCGCGGUAAGACAGAGGAUGCAAGCGUUAUCCGGAAUGAUUGGGCGUAAAGCGUCUGUAGGUUGUUUAAAAAGUAUUCUGUCAAAGAUUAGGGCUUAACCCUAGAUAGGCAGAAUAAACUUUUAAGCUAGAGUUUGGUAGAGGCAGAGGGAAUUCCCGGUGGAGCGGUGAAAUGCGUAGAUAUCGGGAGGAACACCAAAGGCGAAGGCACUCUGCUGGGCCAAUACUAACACUGAGAGACGAAAGCGAGGGAGCAAAUGGGAUUAGAUACCCCUGUAGUCC